GAUGAAGAACGCAGCGAAAUGCGAUACUUGGUGUGAAUUGCAGAAUCCCGUGAACCAUCGAGUCUUUGAACGCAAGUUGCGCCCGAAGCCAUUAGGCCGAGGGCACGCCUGCCUGGGCGUCACACGUCGUUGCCCCCCCAUCUACUCCUUCGGGAUUGCGGGGGGCGGAUGGUGGCCUCCCGUGUGCCUCGCCGCGCGGUUGGCAUAAAUGCCAAGUCCUCGGCGACGCACGCCACGACAAUCGGUGGUUGCGAAACCUCGGUUGCCCGUCGUGUGCGGUCGUCGCGCAUCGAGGGCUCGAAAAAUUGCCGGGUUCCGGCUCGGCUUUCAACGCGACCCCAGGUCAGGCGGGGUUACCCGCUGAAUUUAAGCAUAUCAAUACGGAGGA
rnacentral:misc_RNA from 1 species